CACUCCUGCGGGAGGCAGCAGUGGGGAAUUUUGGACAAUGGGCGAAAGCCUGAUCCAGCAAUGCCGCGUGAGUGAAGAAGUCCUUCGGGUUGUAAAGCUCUUUUGUCAGGGAAGAAACGGUGAAAGCUAAUAUCUUUUGCUAAUGACGGUACCUGAAGAAUAAGCACCGGCUAACUACGUGCCAGCAGCCGCGGUAAUACGUAGGGUGCAAGCGUUAAUCGGAAUUACUGGGCGUAAAGCGUGCGCAGGCGGUUUUGUAAGUCUGAUGUGAAAUCCCCGGGCUCAACCUGGGAAUUGCAUUGGAGACUGCAAGGCUAGAAUCUGGCAGAGGGGGGUAGAAUUCCACGUGUAGCAGUGAAAUGCGUAGAUAUGUGGAGGAACACCGAUGGCGAAGGCAGCCCCCUGGGUCAAGAUUGACGCUCAUGCACGAAAGCGUGGGGAGCAAACAGGAUUAGAAACCCGAGUAGUCCCAUG
rnacentral:rRNA from 1 species